CUACCGGUUUUCUUCAAAACCAGCUUCUAAAAAAAAAAAAAUCAA
rfam:Anas platyrhynchos breed Pekin duck contig60794, whole genome shotgun sequence.